AGUGAACGCUGGCGGUAGGCCUAACACAUGCAAGUCGAACGGCAGCACAGUAAGAGCUUGCUCUUACGGGUGGCGAGUGGCGGACGGGUGAGGAAUACAUCGGAAUCUACUUUUUCGUGGGGGAUAACGUAGGGAAACUUACGCUAAUACCGCAUACGACCUACGGGUGAAAGCAGGGGAUCUUCGGACCUUGCGCGAUUGAAUGAGCCGAUGUCGGAUUAGCUAGUUGGCGGGGUAAAGGCCCACCAAGGCGACGAUCCGUAGCUGGUCGGAGAGGAUGAUCAGCCACACUGGAACUGAGAAACGGUCCAGACUCCUACGGGAGGCAGCAGUGGGGAAUAUUGGACAAUGGGCGCAAGCCUGAUCCAGCCAUACCGCGUGGGUGAAGAAGGCCUUCGGGUUGUAAAGCCCUUUUGUUGGGAAAGAAAAGCAGCAGGUUAAUACCCCGCUGUUCUGACGGUACCCAAAGAAUAAGCACCGGCUAACUUCGUG
rnacentral:rRNA from 1 species